rnacentral:rRNA from 1 species
GACGAACCGUGCGAACGUUAUUCGGAAUCACUGGGCUUAAAGCGCGUGUAGGCGGGCCGGCACGUCUGGUGCUGAAAUCCCCCGGCUCAACCGGGGAAGUGGCACGGAUACGACCGGCCUGGAGGGGGGUAGGGGGCGCCGGAACUUCCGGUGGAGCGGUGAAAUGCGUUGAGAUCGGAAGGAACGCCCGUGGCGAAAGCGGGCGCCUGGACCCCACCUGACGCUGAGACGCGAAAGCCAGGGGAGCGAACGGG